rnacentral:misc_RNA from 1 species
UUGUGGCAUUGCUCAUCUGCUGGAGAGCACGCGAGAUGCUCCCCCCUAAUUGUGCUAACACCAUCUUGACGGAGAUCGAUUAACGAAAUCAACAGGAUUAUGAAGGAACUUCAAUGUUUGUGAAUGCCAAUCGAUUAGGCUUUAAGAUUUGGGAACGAAAUCUUUGUUCAGUGAUUUGUCUUAUAAGGAUAAUUUUGGGGGAAAAAAGCAAGUCUCUG